UCUGUCUUGACUAUGAUAAUAAUGGAGCAGAUUUUCAACAACUUCAAACGUAGUACUUGUACGCUGUUCAGAAUUGUAAAUUGAUGCUAACUUAAGGUACUGUAUAUGCUUUUAAAUCUCAACGAAUGAUAGUUUGAUUUUGGUUGCUGAUUUAAGAACCAGCUUGUUUCUUGAUUUAUAAUGAGGUGGAUUUUAAAAGCAUUGUUUCAUUAGCAGUAUUUCACAGUAGGGUCACAGUGUCAUACAGAUGCAACAUUUCAUUAAGAUGUUGAUGGAUCAUACUUUCAUUUGACUUGGUUAGGAAUAAUGAAGUAUACAUAUUUACAGUGCACAGAGCUAAAGGUCUAUUUCCCUUCCAUAUAAAAAUAGUAUGGGAAUUAUUCCCACUCAGCAUCAAAGAAUCCAGCAUCUUUCAUCUCAGAAUAAUAUGCGUUGUCCAAAAGAAAGUCUUCCUCCUGCAGCAAGUGCGUGGUGCAAAUUCACAACAUGAUGUUUGUUAAUGAACAUAUUAUAGAAAAAUCAAAGUCAAACAGUAAAUAGCAAAGAAUGCUUACUUGGAAAAAAUCUGCCAGAAAAGUUGCAUAAAGAAAUGGAAGAUAUAAAGAGUGAUAACAUAGUACAGUAAAAUCAUACAACCUGCAGAUGACAAGAAUAUCGGUUAUUUAUUGCAAAAGCUAUAGAGAUAAUAACCGAGUACCUCUUCUAA
rnacentral:lncRNA from 1 species